CACCGCGCAAUCGUUGACGAAUAGCCUUUUUUCUGUCGUUGCUCCCCGCCCCCCCCCCCCACACACCACCACCACCACCACACACCCACCCUCUGUGUGUGUGUGUGUGGAGGGGAAGGGUGUAUUCCUCCCAUCUCGCCCUGUCAACACCUCGACCCGUCGCCCAUCACGCUGCGGUGCGGUGCUCAACGCGGACGUCCCUAAAGUCGCAUUUGUUCGCGUUGCGUGCCUGUGGGCGUCGAUGUGGGAAGGGGAGGAGGGCCGCAGUCCUUCUCCAUCUUCUCGUGCCUUCGUGUUCCCUUGUGUCCUCCUUUCCCCUCGCUCUCCAGCUUUGCCUCCCUCUUGGCCUGGCGUCCCCCGCAUCGCAAGCUUUCUGGAUCGCCACAACCGCCCCUCCCCUCACCUCCUUCACGGCUGUCAUCGAUCAUGGACGGAGCACCACAACAGCAACGGCUACAGCAGCAGCACCAAUCUCAGGUGCGUGCGCCGACUCCUCCGCGAUUGAAAUCGCCGCCUGCAUCAUCGCUACCGGCGCAAGAUGCAGCAACAAUCGCAGACACUGCAGAGGAUAAGGUCAACGCAGGCAGGCGCUCUUUGAUAGCGCAGCUCACCUCCACCAUCUCUUCCUCCUUUCAAUUUCUGGCCAACGAGGCGUCGGCCCGUAGCUGCGGUACGCAGCGCACGGGUGGCCACUGCACUAACGGACGUGUCGGCGAAGCAGGCCACCACGUCGAUAAGCCGCCGCUCACGCACGCGCGCCCGCCUGCCUCUCGAGAAGAGGUCGAGGAGGGCCUGGACAAGAUUCUUUACGCGAUUGACCACCUCCAGCAGCUGCAGCAGCGCGGCCGUUACAUCGCCAGCACCGAAGUGAAAAACCUCCGCCGCGCGUUCCUCUUCGCCGUUGGCGAGGAACAACGCUAUCGCGACGCUGUAGCAGCACAUGAGAGCGCGAGCGGGUGCUCCUCAGCACUCACUAUGCCAUCCCUGCCUGCGCAGUGCACACCGUUCAAGGAAACCAUCUCCAUGGCGGGCCCCACCGACACCGCUGCGGCGUCAUGGAGCGUUCCGAGAACGCCAUCAGCAGAUGGCCCAAGUGGAAAGGCAGCCGAGGAUGCAGUAGAAAUAUCUCGGCCCACAGAAGGAAAGCGGGAGUAUAGCCCAAAGGCGGCGGCGGCCGACAGGCUACUCGCCGCGCUGGAGCAUUACGUCGACGAGAACCCGUCCUCCACCUCCUUUGGCGCUCACGGCGCGCACUUCUCGUGGCGCAGCGUCAUCCACACCCCCGGCCAGCGGCGGCUGCAGUCGCUUAUUGUUUCCAUCUUCACCUUUUUCACGGGGAUCCCCAUCUGUAUGGCCAUCACGGGGCUGCUCCUGCUCUCGCGCUACACGGCGCCCUUCAUGGUGAUGUACCUCAUCUGGAUCUUCACCUUCGGGCGGCCCAGGCAUCCGCUGUGCAAGCACCAAACGUUCACGCGCUGCUUCGUGUGGCGCUACUACUGCGACUACUUCCCCAUACGCCUCGUCAUCCCCAGGCCGGUGCGGCGCCGCUUCGACAAGGAGCGCAACUACUUUUUUGUGUACCACCCGCACGGCAUUCACUCGUUCGGCGCCAUCGUCAACUUUGGGCUCGACCAGAACGAUGCGUCGAAGACGCUCCACGGCAUCACGAUCCACCUGCAGACCCUUAAGGUUAACCUCUACGUGCCCCUAUGGCGCCAACUUGCCAUCUGGGCGGGGUGCGGCGACGCCAGUGCUUCCUGCAUCCGAAAGACGCUCCGGUCCGGCCCUGGGCAGAGCAUCAUGCUCGUCGUUGGCGGGGCCGAGGAGUCGCUCAUGGCAAAGCCGAACCGCAACGACCUGCUCCUGUUCAAGCGCAAAGGCUUCAUCAAGAUCGCGCUCCAGGAGGGGACGCCGCUGGUGCCAGUGUACGGCUUCGGCGAGAACAACGUGUACAGCGUGCCGGAGCUGGCCGACGAGCCAUGGAUUCGGUACCUGAUGGUGCUGUGGAAGCAGUAUGUCGGCUUCGCCAUCCCGCUGGUGAGGGGUCGCGGAUUCUUCAACUUCAACUACGGGCUGCUGCCGCACCGCCGCCCGAUCGUGGUGGUGGUCGGGGAGCCGCUGGAGGUGCCGCACAUUCCUAACCCGACCAAGGAGGAUCUCGAGGUGUGGCAAGGCAAGUAUAUCGAGUGUCUUCGCAAGCUGUAUAACGAGCACCGUGGCAUCUACGACUUGGAGUCGACCGGUCUGCGCAUUAUGCAGUGAGCGCGCGAAAAUGACGGGGUCUGCACACGAGUGAGUCCGUGACGGGGAGAGAGAUGGCGAGAGAGCGCGCGCGCUUUUCGCCUUCUUCCCCACGCGGCACUGCGCAGUGCUCGAGUAAAGUUGAAGGCGAGUGCGUCACGCCUGCCCACGAAGCGCGCUCUUCCGGACACCCCCACCCUUCUUUUGCCUCCUCCUGCUAGUACACCUUUCUCACGCACACGCGCGCCCUUCGCCUCUGCAAAACAAAAAAGGGGGAGGGGGGCUAAGGUGUGUGCCAGUGUGUGUGUGUGUAUGUGUGUGUGUGCGGUCAAGCUGUGUGCACUCCACAAGUCCUCUCCUUUCAUGUAUCUUCAUGCCUUGUGUGUCCGGCUCUGUAGUCACCGUGUUGACGCUAAUGAUGUGCUGCUCACUCUCUUUUUCUUGUUUCGAUAGCGCUCAUGCCCAUCUUGUGAGCGGAGGUGCCACGGCAGUGCGUCCGUUGGGCGGCUGAGGCAUGUUUAUGCUGUUUCACCACAGGUUUAUGGGCCCAGGGAUGGCCUUGCCCUCUUCCUCCUUUCUCACAAGUGCCACUUUGGGCUUUCACCGCCACCUCUGCCACCUUCCCACGCAUACACCCUUCUCUCCCUGCCCGCCCGCCGACUUCCGCGCUCGCUGGCUCCGCCAGUGGAAGCUGUCGCCUGACGAGUGGCGCUCUUCGAGGAGGAGCUGGGGGAGAAGCACCGCCGUCUUGUGCUGGUGGACAUCGUCCAAUCGGGUGUUUCGAUGUGCCCUUGUGAAUGAAGUCCAACGUGUUUGGUUUCUUUCUUUGGUUGCACCCCCCCCACCCCCUUUCUGCGCCCUCUUGUCGGGUUGCUCUGUGUUGUCUUCCGUGCCUCUGCACUGUUUUCCUUUCUCCAUGUCUUUGUCUGUGCGAUAGGGUGCAUCCUCUUCGGCCGACCACCAGUGCACCGUCCCUCUAAUCGAGCGCGCACCAUCGGCAUGCAUUCAUCGGCUCAAUACAUGUUCCUUCCUUGCCCCUUCGUCAGCACCAUCGUAAACCCCCUCAUGUGAGAACACGAGUGCACGCAGAAAAAGGAGCGAGCGAGCGAAGGCAUAAAAAAAUGUUGUGGUUGCCUU
rnacentral:misc_RNA from 1 species